AGCAAAAAAAAUAUUAAUAUGCGUCGACGGAACUUCGUGAGACGUACCUUGAAAAUUGAUGUAAAAAGCUAUUUUAUGUAGUUUUACGUCAUAUCGACGCUUUACUACAUUUCUCGACGUAACAUGAAAUCGAGAAAAUUAAUUUUUCAGUUACACAGUUCUAACGUAAUUUUGCCUACUUUAUUCUGUAUUUCAAUACACAUAAAAUGCUGCACAUCAUACCCGUCCAAGAUUAAAUUUAUUAUCGCAUCAAAAAAAUGAGAAAUACACAAAAUUAGCGUAAUAUUACACCAACUUCAGUGAAAUCGCUUCAUAAAACUUGCAACAAAACGUCAACAGCCAAGUCUUUCCGCUACAGUCAGUUCAGUUUUCACUCAACUCUGCCCGCAUCGGGCUAAUAAUAUUAGUUUGAUCAAUUGCUUUUUGCUUUUUGGGGAAUCAAAUUAAUAAUUUAAAUGUGGUAUAUUCCUCAUCGCACCGGAGAGAGGGCAUUUCUUUUCACAGGCUUUGCUAAUAAUGGAAAGAAUUCUCGUGAGCAGAAAAAAACAAGGACGGCGGAAGGGGAUGAACCGGAGAAAAAUCAUUCUUUACCUACCUACGGCAAAUCGGCACAGAAGCAUUGAAUUUUGCAGUUUCGUUUUCCGCUAAAUAAAUGAGUCGGCAAGUGCAAAGUUCCGAUCAUGUAGAAGAACGCUAGUGAUGAGGGAAGGAUUUUCGAAACUGCCAGCAGCAAAAGUGGCACCGAUCCGUCGGACAUUACCAUCAGUUCCGAAUCAACCAACAAAGCCGCGAUCGCGAAGGGACUUUAGCAUUGGAUGGAAACAUGGAAAUGUACAGGUAGGGCCGCAUCUUUUGACCCUCGAACAUUAGCAAUCCCCGUCGGUACUGUUCCGUUGAUAGUAUUUAUGUGUCCAACAAAAUCUUCCACAAAAAAUGCUGCUGUUAGGAUCCCACUAGCUCUCUGCUGGAUCAAUAUUAUGUAAGGAUGUGUGUAAUGUGAUGUUUCUGGAUAAGGUUGAAUAAGCUCAAAGCUAAUGUAUUUAUUGAAAACCACAAGAACCAUUGAAAAUUAACAUUUGUAAAAUAGGAAAUUAAACACAUAGUUGAGAAUUGGAUUAAAACUAAUA